rnacentral:misc_RNA from 1 species
UCCGGCUUAGCACCGGCAGUCCUGCUAGAGUGCCCAACUAAAUGGUAGCAACUAAAGACGAGGGUUGCGCUCGUUGCGGGACUUAACCCAACAUCUCACGACACGAGCUGACGACAGCCAUGCAGUACCUGUGUGUAGGUCCCGUAAGGGAAGGAAUCCAUCUCUGGAAACCGUCCUACCAUGUCAAACGCUGGUAAGGUUCUGCGCGUUGCUUCGAAUUAAACCACAUACUCCACCGCUUGUGCGGGCCCCCGUCAAUUCCUUUGAGUUUCAGCCUUGCGGCCGUACUCCCCAGGCGGAGUGCUUAAUGCGUUAGCUGCAGCACUAAGGGGCGGAAACCCCCUAACACUUAGCACUCAUCGUUUACGGCGUGGACUAC